CAAGAAGGCCAAAAUGGAGGCAUUAGUAACUAGUAAGUAGAGCGACACAGAACAAUUCCACACAGGUGUGCUGGUGUAUAGUAUGCACAUGAUUUAAUUUCUUGGCCGGUGCUGGCUAGAAUGAGUUCUUAUAUGUCUUCUGCCGCCCUCUAUCAGUCCUGGACGAUCCAAUGUGUUCCAAGGAAUGAAUCAGUAGGUGGUUCCAUUGUCCAGUUGCUGUGAAACUCACUUGGAUGAAACACUCUCUUCUUCACUGUCCACAGACUUUACACCUGAUUCAGAUCAUCGCUGCUAAGUAUAAGUUCUCCUUCAGAUCAGAUAGUAUGCUCCCAGUAGCUUAUUCUUUAUCAGCAGCCUGCUGCUUGCAACAGAUGGGCAAAACACUAAAUUGAGUCUUUCAUUCGGAAUGAAAUUGAAGUGGAUUAUCUGGAGGUAUUAGGGAAUAUAACAAGCUUUGCUGAUUGAGCUACAAGCGGGUUCGCUGAAGGGAAUACUUUCUGUCUUUUUAUUGGACUUUGGUCAGAAAGGCAACUGGUGAACCAACUGCUCCAGAUUAAAAGAUGUGCGGAGAUGGCUCUUAGAUUGCGAUAUUUCAA